UACGUAGGGGGCAAGCGUUGUCCGGAUUUACUGGGCGUAAAGCGCGUGUAGGCUGCUCUGCAAGUCGGGUGUGAAAGCCCUGGGCUCAACCUAGGAAGUGCACUCGAAACUGCAGAGCUGGAGUCCUGGGGAGGAAGGCGGAAUUCUCGGUGUAGAGGUGAAAUUCGUAGAUAUCGAGAGGAACACCGGUGGCGAAGGCGGCCUUCUGGACAGUGACUGACGCUGAGACGCGAAAGCGUGGGGAGCAAACAGG
rnacentral:rRNA from 1 species